rnacentral:tRNA from 1 species
CAAAGGAUAGUUUAUUAAAAUAUUAAUUUUGGAGAUUAAAGAUAAGAAUUAUCUUUCCUUUGAAAGUUUUAAAAGAAAUCUUAU